GGCCGAAAGAGCGAAGAUAAAAACAUAAACAAAAUAGAAAAAUAUUGAAAAUAACAGAAAAGCAAAGUCUGUGAAUUCAGACCUUGUGUAUAUAAUAAAACAGUUAUUCCACUCACUCUCGUCGAAUAUGAGCGAUAGCCGAUUCGGCGCCUCAUCGGCUAUCAGCUCAUAUUCGACUCGAGUGCGUAGAAUAACUGUUAAUUAUUCUGGUGAUUUCGUUUUUCAACUUUACGAUCGUGGCAAUGGAAGUGUCCUUAAAUAUUCGUACUCGCACGAACUAAUUCUUUUGACGACUUCUUCGAAAAAUGAAAACUUGACAAUUUCCCGUAUAACUAAUAAAUUUCCUGUAUGAAUGCACCAAUCACCUUCAGGUUUGGUGGAAUUGACCAAUCAUAAAGAGGCAAGGCAAGAAGUGACCGUAAUUGACCCACAAGAUUUACAUGAAAAUAAUCUUUUCUCCGGUGCCGUCCGUCCGUCCGUAUCCGCGUAUUAUCC